rnacentral:rRNA from 1 species
UACAGAGGGAGCAAGCGUUGUCCGGAAUUACUGGGUUUAAAGGGUGCGUAGGCGGCUCCAUAAGUGAGGGGUGAAAGCCUAUGGCUUAACGAUAGAAUUGACUUUGAUACUGGAAAGCUUGAAAGGGGUUGAGGUCAGCAGAAUGUGGCAUGUAGCGGUGAAAUGCAUAGAUAUGCCCUAGAACACCGAUUGCGAAGGCAGCUGGCUGGGCCUACUUUGACGCUGAGGCACGACAGCGUGGGGAGCGAACAGG